CUGUUACUCACACUCACGUCUCAGGAGUUCAACAAAGAGCACAUGUUUGUGUUUCUUUAUUUCAGCAAUUUAUCUGAUGGAGCGUCUGUGCAAGUCCACAAACUGUGUGUCCAUCAAGAGAGGACUGGUUCACACAUGCAGCGGAAUAUUCUGUGGCUUUUAUGAAGAAUCGGAUGGUCUCUCUUCCUCUGGUAGGAAAUUAUUCCUGGGGCUACUGCUGUCACCUGAGCAAGCCUGGGGAGAACCAGACCAGUUCUGGAACCAGCACUGAUGCAAAUGCCCUCCUCACUGCUUCUGGCCCAGACAGGCAUACCAAGAAAAAUGAUCAACAAAAAGAAACCAAAAUUUUCUACCCAGAGGAAAACCUGAGUGAAUUUCCACAUCUGAAUUUCUAAUUACUAUUUGAAUAAUGGCUAAGUUGCCAUAUAUUUUGAUUCUUCAACAUGAUAUAAAAAUCAUUAAACUCAGCAAAAAGCCAUUUGGAUAAUAAAAUAGUUGUUUCCAUCUUAAACACAGUCAACACUCUACUCAAUACCCACAGCGGCCCACAGGACACACAUUUAGACUGAGAAUUACACACCACCUCACUCUCUUUGCCCUCAUUCCUGGAAAGGUGACUGGUUUUCAAGCUUAUCCUCACACUCUUGCUGCUAAUGCUCUCACUCCUUAUGGAAUGUGACCCUUUGUUACAUCUCAGACCCACUCUACUUGUUUAGUCAACAGCAUACUGUCUAAUGCCUUAGCGUUCCUCAUUCUUCCAACUCCCCGAUUUGAACUCUGAAACUUGCUCCAUCAGGUUCUUCUUCCCUCCCUCUCCUUCCUGCCAUCUGCUCAUUUGCCCCAUCACCCCGAGUCCGCUGGGACCUCCUUGUUACUUCAGGUCAUCCGUGUUCUUCUCUUUAUGAACCCAUUUCUGUAUAUUAUUGACCCUAUCACCCCCAAUUCCUUUAUUUAUUAAUAAAUUCCUGAUUGGGUCUCCUCUUCACCCACACCCCUUAAUACCUUGUGUUUCUCCUUCUCAGUAUAUGU